GUGCUCACUUCGGCAGCACAAAUACUAAAAUUGGAACAAUACAGAGAUUAGCAUGGCCCCUGCGCAAGGAUGACAUGCAAAUUUGUGAAGUGUUCCAUAUUUAA
ensembl:snRNA U6 U6 spliceosomal RNA